GCGAGUGAAGCGGCAACAGCUCAAAUUUGAAAUCUGGCUCUUUCAGGGUCCGAGUUGUAAUUUGUAGAAGAUGCUUCGGGUGAGGCUCCGGUCUAAGUUCCUUGGAACAGGACGCCACAGAGGGUGAGAGCCCCUUAUGUGACUGGUUGCCUUCGCCCAUGUGAAGCUCUUUCGACGAGCCGAGUUGUUUGGGAAUGCAGCUCAAAAUGGGUGGUAAAUUUCAUCUAAAGCUAAAUAUUGGCCAGAGACCGAUAGCGCACAAGUAGAGUGAUCGAAAGAUGAAAAGCACUUUGGAAAGAGAGUUAAACAGUACGUGAAAUUGUUGAAAGGGAAGCGCUUGCAACCAGACUUGCACGCGGUUGAUCAUCUGGGGUUCUCCCCAGUGCACUCUGCCGCGUUCAGGCCAGCAUCGGUUUUGGUGGUUGGAUAAAGGCCUUGGGAAUGUGGCUCCUCUCGGGGAGUGUUAUAGCCCUCGGUGCAAUGCAGCCUACCGGGACCGAGGACCGCGCUUCGGCUAGGA
rnacentral:rRNA from 1 species